rnacentral:tRNA from 1 species
GUGGGUGUAGCUCAGUUGGUAGAGCACCGGAUUGUGGCUCCGGUUGUCGUGGGUUCAAUUCCCAUCACUCACCCCA